GUUUAUGGUGGCUGUGCGUGGGAGACCUUUGGGUCUACCGGUUUGCCUUGUCCCGGUUCGCCAACCUGCGUACAGCUACCACCUUU
rnacentral:antisense_RNA from 1 species